UACGAAGGGGGCUAGCGUUGCUCGGAAUCACUGGGCGUAAAGGGCGCGUAGGCGGCUUUCUAAGUCAGGGGUGAAAUCCGGCAGCUCAACUGUCGCAGUGCCUUUGAUACUGGAGAGCUCGAGGGAGGUAGGGGUCUGUGGAACUUCCGGUGGAGCGGUGAAAUGCGUAGAUAUCGGAAAGAACAUCAGUGGCGAAGGCGGCUUCCUGGACUCAUACUGACGCUGAGGCACGAAAGCAUGGGGAGCAAACAGG
rnacentral:rRNA from 1 species